CCUAUUUUGGUAACGGUAAUCAUAUCUCAAGUAAUAGUAAAACACGUCUCAUAACAGUAAGAACAUUUUAAAUAACUGUAAACAUCUCAAAUAAACUAUUCAGUACCAUAUCAAAUAAAGGACUUGUCCCACAUGCAAUUUCAAACAUUCGGUAACACAUUUUAUUUUCAAAAUAAUGUAUAAACCAUGCAGGUUAUGAAAACACAAAUUGUUGUAAGAUUACUACUCACAGUACUCGUGCUGAAAUACCAACUACAUCGCCUCGUGCAAUCUGUAUGACUUUCUUCAAUCAAUUUAUAAUCACAUCAUAUCGAUCCUCUAUCAAUUUUGUUGUUUAGGCUAAUCCUUAACUAUUUUACAAUAUCCAACUCUUGGAGUUUCACGUUGAUUCUCAAUUAUUUUUUCUUGAGUUGGAUUUGUUCAGACCACGGGAAAAUUAUUUUAUAUCUUAAUCAUGCUCCUUAAGUCAUAUGUAAACUUUUGAGAUUUUAAUGUUGAAAACAUAAUUCCAGAUUGCUUUUAAAAACAUCUAAAACUUGCUUAAGAUAAAUAAUUGCACUAUGUCAUCAUUGAAGCAACUUUAUGUAAGGAGUUCUUCACUCAAAUUCAUCUUUAAUCUAUCAAUUCCAACCGUUUCAUUGAAUAUAUUUAUCUGAUUUUAAUACCACAUGAUACCUCAUAGGCGCAUAAGUCUAAACCAAAUAGAACUACUAUCCAUAGAAAAAACAAAUCCUAGUACCCUAUAAAGUUUCAUAAAUCAAAGAACGAGGGAAACAAAACUAUAAAGAAGAACUUACCAUUCUUUAGUUGAAAGAGACCUGCCACAAUGUACUUAAGCUUUAAAGUUUCUUGUUAUUUGGUUUCAAUUAUUUGAUGAAUCUAACACCUUUGUCGAUAGGUUUAGUUGCGGCAAAAGCUUUGGCUUCGUUUUUCUUCUUUAAUCCCCUUUUCUCUUUUUGUUUAGUCUUUCCUUUUGGGCUUUUAUCCUUUUUAUUAUUAUUAUUAUUAUUAUUAUUAUUAUUAUUAUUACUAUUAUUAUUUUGUUUAAACUAUUAUAUUACUAAUAUGCCCUAACUUAAAUAUGUGGUAUUACAUUCUCCUCACCUUAAAAUAUUCGGUCUCCGAAUUUAACUCAAGUACAUACAUAUAGACUGAAUUAAAUGAAGAUACUUGACUCGCAUAAUAUCUUUUACCUCCUAGUAGCUUAUUCAAUGGUGUGAUUUCCCUGUAAGACUUUCACAGACACAAUUUCUUCUGUCUGUAACUUUUUUGGUAGUUGUUUUCAAUAAUAGCGACCCGAUCUUCCCCAUAAGUUAAUUUAUCAUCAAGUUGUACGGUCGGUGCUUCAAGUACCUUAGAGAAGUCCAAUAUAUAUCUUUUAGUAUAGAUACAUUAAACAUGGGGUAGAUACACAACAUUAACAGUUCUAUGAACCUUAGGCUCAACUUACGUCUUUUUCCCAAAUCGCAUCACACCUUCCAUUGGGAAGACCAUUAGGAACACUUGUAUCCCCAAUUGUGAACACUAAAUCUCUUCUUCUCUUAUCUGCGUAAGAUUUUUGUCUGCUUUGAGCUGUGAGCAAUCUCUGCCUGAUUAAUUGGAUCAUGUCAAUAGCUUCUUGUACUAGGCCAGGUCCCCAUAAGUUAGUCUCACCAGCUUCAAACCACCCGAUAGGAAAACAACAUCUCUUACCAUAUAAAUGCUUUGUAUGAUGACAUCUUAAUGCUGGACUGAAAAUUAUUAUUGUAGGAAAAUCCAGCUAAAGAUAGAUAGGUAUCCCAACAACCUCCAAACUCAAGAAUGCAAUCUCUCCACAUAUCCUCCAAGAUAUGUAUAGUGCAUUCAGACUUUGCGUUUGUCUGCAGUAAGAACUAGUACUGAUAUCUACUCAUGUACCCUACGUUUCUUGAAAAGAUUUUCAAAUCAUGAGGUGAAUUGUGAUCCUCUAUCAGAGAUGAUAGACAAUAGAGCUCCAGCUGCCCGCUCUGCUUCUGCACCUUCUCUUCCGUAGGUGCGGUCUCGCUUCUUCGGCGAGAUGACCGCAUCUGCGGUGUCAGCACUACCCCACCAAAAAUCGCAUAUGCACCCUUCUUGGCCGCUUCUGCGGCCCAAACCUCGCAGAAGCGCUUACACCAGAAGGCAGCUGCUUCAACCUUUCUUCCAAGUCCAAACUCGAUCCGUUUACCAUCCGAAUUUCACCUGAGGCCCUCGUGACCUCAACCAAUUAUAUCAACACAUCCCAAAAUACAUUACAAACUUAGUCGGACCUUCAAAUCAUAUCAAACAACGCUAAAACCAUGAAUCGCAUCCCAAUUCAAGCUUUAUGAACUUUAGGACUUAAAACUUUUACAUUCGAUGUCGAAACCUAUCAAAUCAUAUUUGAUUGGCCUCAAACUUUGCACACAAGUCACAUUUGACAUUACAGACCUACUUCAACUUUCGGAAUCAAAAUCCGACCCCAAUAUCCAAAAAGUCCACUUCCGAUCAAACUUCUCAAAAAACCCUUCAAAUUUCUAGCUUUAGCCAAAUGACCUACGGACCUCCGAAUCCACUUCCGGAUGCGCUCCCAAUUCCAGAAUCACCAUACGAAGCUAUUUCGAGACUCGAAAUCCCAAACGGACAUUGAUAGCAUUGAAAUGCACUUCAACGCAAAUUUAUGAAAUUCUUCCAAAAUGUCAACUUCCGAUCAAGACAUACGCCCAAGUCCGAAAUAAUCAUACAAACCUAUUGGAACCUUCAAAUGCCGAUUUCGAGAUCGUUUACUCAAAAAUCCAACCUUAGUCAAUUCUUCCAACUUAAAGCUUUCGAAAUGAGAAUUUUCUUUCCAAAUCAACUCUGAACUCCGUGAAUCUCACUUUCGACUAAUAGUACAAGUCAUAAUACCUGAAGUGAAGUUGCUCAUGGCCUCAAACUGCUGAACGACGUGCUAGAGCUCAAAACGACUGAUUUUACCACAAUCUCUAUACUUGGUUUCAAUCUUUAAUCAAUUAAGUGACUACCUGACACACUUAUACAUUAUUUCCAUGGGUUACACUCCUCCGACCUUCCGCACCAGACGAAGAUCAUGUACAUACAUACUACCGGCCACACAAAAGUUGUAAAGCAAAUUCAAGAAUCCGCAAUCAGUAUGCAAAGCCCCUCAUACCCGACACCGAUCUCAGGUGACACUAAAGACAACGCCAUCUUAUUCUAACCAUAUGAAUCCUUUCUCGCUCAUCCGAGCUCGUGUUAUUCCUUCCAAUACCAAACGGCAACCUUGACCCUCAACUUUCAAAUUUUCAUGCUGCCCACUACACCUAAAUCAUGCCAAUGCGCAAGAGUACAAGAAUUUCAUCAUAACUCUUGAACCACUAAUAGGGUAAACACUUCAUCAUAUAGAAACCUUUUACUUAGCUCAUUUCAAGUGAAUUAUUGCAGCACAUGCCCGAAUUCUCAUAUCCGCAGAAAAUACUAACCUCAAGUAGUGGUCUAAACCACCAUAACCCUUUCGGGAUCCAUCUAUAUAUAACAGACCAUAGCACUCGAAUGCCUCCACAUAAAAUCGAUCACGGCGACGGAAAGCCUCGCACUUAUCGCCAUAAAGCACAUGUGUAACUUAACAUGCUGAAGGAACUGAUCAUUUCGAUUAUCAUGCCAAUCCAACCAUUGCUAACUGAUCUGACUUCUUUUAAUUUACUAUGGACCUGCCUUAGGAAUAAUAAUAAUAAUAAUAAUAAUAAUAAUAACUUCAUUCAAAACAUCACAAACCCAAAUCCGCACUCAUCCUGAGUGACCUUAUAUCACGAGACCAUGUUGUCUCAAAUCCCACGAACCAUCUCAUACCCUCCUUGUGCGCAUAUUCGCAUCCUCAACUGGUACGCCCAUCCUGAAUAUUCCUCUACGAAUCCGAAGUUAUUUUCUCUCAUUCCUCCAAAUGCUGCACUGCAAGCCGAAGAUAUCAUAGAACACUCCAAGACCCUUUUCACAAUCUGCUGCAAAAGAUCGAUUCUUAACCAUACUGCGGGCUUGAAAUCCUUAGGCACCGCAUUUUUAACUUUUGAAUUCACUAGGACCGUUGUUGAGAGUCACCCACUCUGACUUGGUCCCGAAUAUAAUCAAAUUCUAAGGCUCCGCUAGCACAUGAACACCCAUUCAAAGAAGCACACGGCUGAAUUAUUUUCCUUGUAAAUCACCCAUACACGAAGCAUAAAUCCUGAAUCUUCCCAAAGCCUGAACAUGGGUCAAUAAGUCCAAUUAUAGCACACAUACCUCAAAUCCUUGCUGAAAUUGCCACUGAUGUUCUCUUUCCUUAUUCGUAAUAACCCACCAAUACACCGAUAACCAGAAACUUCACAUGUAGAUAAUCAUGCAAUCCAAUCGUAGCCAGUGGGUCUCUCCCACUUAGAUCGGAGCUACCAUUACCUAACUCUGUAACCCACCAAGGUUCAUUCUUCCUCUCUGACAUGACCUCGCGCUAUCGAACCGCCAAAUUAUUCGAAACCUUCCAACGAUGCGGCACCGAGAACAAUUACUAUGAAACCAAUAAAACAUCACCAGUUGUACAAACCCGUUCACUACAAAUUGACAUAAACUAAAGGUGCGACGACACAUUCGAAUCCAAAGUCAUGUUGUAUCCUUAUUCAUAUCAAGCAACUCCUUUUCGUCGUAUCCAACCUUCCUCCGCAUAGCAGCCAAUAUGCAAAAUUAAGACUGUAGACCUAGUCACUGUCCACCAUGAAUCCCAAAUCAGUCUAAACCUCCCCCAAGGCGUGUAGCUAUCCUAUCCCAAAACCCACAUGCUACUCUGCCACUCUCCCUCUUUGGUCAAACUCACUCCUUUAAGCAACUACUCGCCUCCUGCUUCUCACACUUGGCCUUCUAGAAGUUUGACCACCGCAAGACGCCUCCCACAUGUCCUUCCUCAUCCUUCACUGCCCAGUUGUUUCCUUAAAUCAAAAUCCCUCUCUGUAGCAUUUGAACCAAUAGAUCGCUACUAACUUCAAACCUUUUCGAAGGUCAUCUUUCUCGAGCCAUCAACAUUAUAAAUACCCAUUCGAUUAUGAAACUGCUGCACUCCAAUAUCUCUUACGACUGUUUCCCGGCACCAUCCCACACUACUCUGCCCCAAAGGCAAUUGAUGAAGACCAAAACACAUGCGAACUUAACACAUUCAAUCAAAGACGACGACACCAUAUCACAAAUGAAAAUUCCACCACACUAAAAAAUACCAAGUCUCGUUACCUCAUCAAUCCAAGCUUGAACAUUCAUAGUCCGACUGCCUUUCCUCCGUCGGGAUAAAAUACUGAAUCUCUAAAUCUUGCACUGAGUAAACAUCCUUCCAAGUCAUUCAUUGCUUCGACGUAUAGACAAACAUCUUACUAUUACACCACAUUAUGCGAUAGCAACGCACGAAUCGUCAUAACAAUCAAUGCCAAAUCUCAAAGCUUAAGUAGUACUGAUACUGAGCUGAAAUGACAGAACGACUUUCCCCAAGGCGACGACAAUAUCCCAAUCAAUUACGCAAGGAGAAACAUCCUGCACCACAUCUGUAGUACCAUUACGAUUCAUCGGUUCCUAAUUGAUAGCAAGCGUUUCACGUCGCAUAAGAUUGAAUAGGAAAUAAAUAAAGGCAUAAGCCUUAAAGGGAUCAACUCGCACGAUGAGGAAUCAAGAAGGGAAGUGCUCUUAACUGCCUUGUAGCCUCUCAAAGAUAACUAAAGACAUCUCUGUACCGAUCCGCAAGACUCUACUGGACUUGCUCAUGACUCGUGAGACCUAAGAGAACCUAGUGCUCUUAUACCAUAUUGUCACGACCCAAAAUUCAUAAAGAUCGUGAUGGCGCCGGACACCACUGUCAGGUAAGCCAACAAUGAAUACUUAAACGGGUUCUCAUUUUUGUUACUUUUGAAAUCAUAUUUUCCUUAAAUUUAAAUCGUAAAAGAUGAAGCUUACAAAAUAAAUAAUAAUAUCUUUAAAAAUUCCAAUACAGCACAACUCAAAAUCAUCCCAAAACCCGGUGUCACAAGUGCAUGAUCAUCAACUAGGAAGAUAAAAUAAAAUACAAUAACUGUCCGGGAUACAAAUUUGGACAGAAAAGAAAAUACAAUACUCUGAGGGAGACUUUGUUGGCUACGGAUCGUCAUAAAGGAUGCAGCUCACCUAAGUCCCUGCCUAAUCACACCUCUACGCCCACAAGGCUGCUAAACAUAUGUGUACCUGCACAAAAAUGUGCAGCAAGUGUAGCGUGAGUACCUAAAUCAAUGCGUACCCAGUAAGUAUCCCGCCUAACCCCGAAGAAGUAGUGACGACGGGUCGACUUCGACACUUACUAGUGGUCCAAUAAUAUCAGGUAUAGUAAAGAAGUAAAUAAAUAUGAGACAGAGUAAAUAUAUAAAACAAACAAUUAUAAAAUACGUGGUACAAUUUUCCUCUUUACAAUUUACUCAAGCUCUCAACUAGUAAGUUCCCUCCAUAAUCGGAGCAUAUAUAUAUAUAUAUAUACAUAUAUAUAUAUAUAUAGUGGAUUUCAUCAAAGAGGUUGUCAUAAUUCAUAUCAGGGAAAACCCCUCAGAUACACUAAAUUUUUGCCAAAUAUUACGCAUGAUUCCAUGAGGAUAAUAUAUAUAUAAGAAGUGUCGAGGCGUACGGACCGAUCCAACAUAAAAGUAAAUUGUGCACUGCCGAGGGUCGAACGACGCGAACCAUAGAUGCAUCUAUUAACCGGCCGAGGCGAACGGCCCGCUCCCAUGAGAGUGUAGUACAUAAAUCAUGUCGAAGAGAACGACCCGAUCCCAUAAGAGUGGUAGAAGGAAAUACCCUGCUCGCGAGUCAUACGUGUGACGCGGUCAAAUAUAAAUUUAAGGAAUCUCCCUGCUCGCAGAUCAUACUUGCGACGCGGUAAAAUAUAUAUUUAACAUUAAAAUGAUAUCUAUUUCCUGAUUCUUUUUAAAAUAAGGGAAAUUCACCUUGUAGCAUUUUCAGGAAAUUACCCCGCUCGCGAAACAUACCUGCGAUGCAGUUACACAUAGAUUUCGUAAGCUAUUAUAGCAUUACUCAAUCCUUUAGAAAAUACGAAGUUCAAAUGAAACUUUUUAAAUCUUAAGUUCUUCAAUUUCAACUCCUUUCAAAACAUUUAAUAAGCAAACUUAAUCUCGCUCCCUCUCAAGGCAAACAAUAAAUAUAAAUCAAUAACAAUAUCAAUAAGGCAUGAUGUGAGCCUAAAACUACCCAGACAUAGGCAUAGCUAGUAACUACGUACGGUCUCUCAUCACCUCGUGCGUACGUAUCCCCCACAAAUAGAAGCACGCGAUAAUUUAGUUCACCUUUGGGGUUAAUUCCCUCUUACAAGGUUAGAAAGGAGACUUACCUUGCUCCGAAAUUCCAUAACCGGCUCCAAAGCCUCCCUAACACCGCAAACCGAUGCCCGUCGCUCCAAAACUAGUCAAAUAAGUUGAAACCCAAUAAAAAUAUACUCUAAUAUUCAUAAUUAAUCAAUUUAUAAAAAUUUCUAACUCCUCUCAAAAAAUCAAUAAAGCAACACUUGACCCACGUGCCCCGAUUUCCAAAAUUUUCAAAGAUAACCAUUACCCAUAGACUCACGAACUCAAAUAUAUAAUUCAUUUCCAAUUCGUUACCCAAAUUCGUGGUUAAAUUCCAAAAAUACAAAUUUCUAGGUUUUCUACCAAAACCCCACAAAUUUCUACUAAUUUUCAUGUCUGAAUCCUCAUACAAACCAUGUAUUUAACUUAUAAUAAGUGGGAAUCAUUUACCUUGUGUUGCUUGAAAAAAAUCCCUCCUUGAAGCUCUCCAAAAUCGCCUCCACCAAGUGAAACAUGGAAGAACAAUGGGCCAAGUCCCGUUUAUAAAAAUCUUCCUCUGCCCAGCAAUCCUCGCACCUGCGUUCACUCAACCGCUUCUGCGGUUCCACAGGUGUGGCAAAUGCUCUGCUUUUGCGGAGAUGCCCCCAGCUGCCUGCUCCGCUUCUGAGCCUUCUCUUCCGUAGGUGCGAUCUCGCUUCUGCGGCGAGAUGACCACAUCUGCGGUCUCACCACUUCCCCCCCCCAAAAUUGCAUUUGCGCCCUUCUUGGCCACUUAUGCGGCCCAAACCUUGCAGGUGCGGUUACACCAGAAGGCAGCUACUUCAGCCUUUAUUCCAAGUCCAAACUCGAUCCGUUUACCAUCCGAAUUCCACCUGAGGCCCUCGGGACCCCAACCAAUUAUACCAAAACAUCCCAAAAGACAUUACGAACUUAGUCGAGCCUUCAAAUCACAUCAAAUAAUGCUAAAAACAUGAAUCGCACCCCAAUUCAAGCUUUAUGAAAUUUAGGACUUAUAUGAAUGACAAAUUUAUGAAAUUCUUCCAAAAUGUCAACUUCCACAAUGGGCGCCAAAACUCUCCCGGGUCAUCCAAAAUCUGAUCCGGACAUACGCCCAAGUCUGAAAUCAUCAUACGAACCCGUUGGAAUCUUCAAAUCAUGAUUCCGAGAUCGUUUUCUCAAAAAUCCAACCCUAGUCAAUUCUUCCAACUUAAAGCUUCCGAAAUGAGAAUUUUCUUUCCAAAUCAACUCUGAACUCCCUGAAUUUUAAUUCCAACUACGCGUACAAGUCAUAGUACCUGAAGUGAACUGUUGAAUGACGCGCUAGAGCUCAAAAUGACUGGUCGGGUCGUUACACUUUGUUACUUUCUACAGCUUUUUUUCCUGGAAUGGGGUCAGAGACUUUUGCCAGUUGGUGUCAAUGUUACAUUGUUAUCAAUCUGUCAUUCUUUUUUUUUAUUUUUUCCAAUUGUUUUCUUUGUAUUCAUAUUGAUUAGAGGUGUACAAAGUAAACAGUAAAAUCGUACCAAAUCAAAAAGUUAAACCAAACUGAUUAAAAACCUGAUGAGGUUUGGUUUGGUUUGGUAUCGAGUAUAAAAACCCGAACCAAACCGACAUAUAAAUAUAUAAUUUUUAUAUAUACUUUUAAGACUUUAUAUAGAAUUUUAUUUAAAAAAUUUCUAGAAAUACUUAGGAUUCUCUUAUGGGAUGUAAUAUUUAAUAGAAUAUGAAGUGCUCCAUUUUUAUUAACUUUAAAUAAUGUGUUGUAUGAUCACUUUCUUAUCAAGUAUUACUGAAAUGCAUCAAUCUCUUUGUUCUUCCAUAUUCAUAUGUCAAGAUCUAUUAGAUUCUUACAUCUUUUUUGGAAUUUGAAGUGUUAUUUCGAUAACUGGAAAUUAAAUAGAACAUAUAAUUAUUUAGGUAUCAUAUCGAUUUUUAUGUUUAAUUAUUAAAUUCGGUUAACCUUGAAAGUGAGGAUAUAACGACCCGACCAAUCGUUUUAAGCAUUUGCACUUCGCUCAGUAGUUGAGGGCACGAGUAUCUUCGUAUGAUGUAUUAUGACUUGUGUGAAACGUCGAUUUUGGUUUUUAGGCUAUUCGGAAUUGAUUUGGAAGAAUGAAUUUCAUUGUUGAAGCUUUAGAUUGGAAGAGUUAACCAAGUUUGAUUUUUAUGAAUUUGACCUCAGAACGGAGUUUUGAUUUCCGUUAGGUCUGGAUGGUGAUUUUUGGAAUCGGGAGUAUGCCGGAAUUUGCGUUUGGAUAUUUCUAGAAGGAUUCGGUACUAAUUGGUGCAAGUUGGAAAUUUGAAAAUUUGGAAAGUUCAUAAUUUUGACCGAGAGUUGACUUUGAUGAUAUCGGAUUUGGAUUUUGGUUCCGGAAAUUAGAAUAGCUUUGUUAUGUCAUUUAGGACUUGUGUGCAAAAUUUGAGUUCAUUCCGAGUUGAUUUGAUAUGUUUCGGAGCAAGUUUUGGAUGUUGAAAGUUCAAAGUUUAUUUAAGUUCGAAUUGAGGUGCAAUUCAUCGUUUUAAUGUUGUUAUGUGUGAUUUGCAACCUCGAAUAGAUCCGUAUUGUGUUAUGAGACUUAAUGUUAUGUUUGGACGAGGUCCCGAGUAGCUCGGAUGUGUUGCGGACGGGGCUCGGAUCGUUCAGAGCCUUGUUGAAGUUGCUGGAAUUUUUGGUUGUUGGUGUCUUCAUACCUGGGCAUGAGGGACCGCAGGUGCGUGUUCGCAAAAGCGGGCUUUUACUUUGUUGAAGCGAAAGGGGCAGUUAGGUGUAAAGGCCGCAGAAGCGGAAUUUGUUCCGCACCCGCGUUAUAGCAGAUGCGGGAUGUGUCGUAGAAGCGAAGGGCGUCGCAGGAGCGGGAGAUGUUGUCGCACCUGAGCGUGCGCAAAAGCAGGUAUUGUUCCGCAUGUGCGAUGGGUGAAUUCCAGUCGGUUUUUGGCAGAAGCGGGUUUAUGGUCGCAAAGGCAAUGCCGUCGACGCAGUUAAGUGGGUCGCAGAUGCGAAAUUGAUGGGAAGAUUCUAUAUAUUUUGAGGAUUUGAUUCUUUUAUUAUAUUUUGUGAUUGGGGCUUGGAUUGAGGCGAUUUUCAAAGCAAUUUUGACCAUAUGGAUUGGGGUAAGUGUUGUCUACUCGGUUUUGAUUUUAUUUCAUGAAUCUAUCUUCAUUUUUGGCAAUUGGUUGAUGAAUUUUAAAGAGGAAAUUGGGAGGUUUUGUCUAAAUUCAUAAAGCGAAUUUUUGACUUUUGAACACCGAUUUGGAGUCGGAUUUGAAUGAAACUAGUAUGCUUGGAGUCGUAAUUGAAUGGGUUGUCGUAUUUUAUAAAUUUUGUCGGUUUCCGAGGUACGGGCUCAAGUUUGACUUUUGGUCAAUUUUGGGCUUUUGAUUAAGGAUUCGACCUUUAUCAUUUGGAAUUGCUUCCUUAGGAUUUAUUUGAUGUUCUUGGGUUGCUUUUGGCUAGUUUUGAGCCGUUCAGAGGUCGGUACCCACAAGAUGGUAUUUUGAAGCAUCGUUCGGCUUGUUCGAGUUAGGUAACACUUCUAAACUUGGUGCUAAGGGUAUAAGCCCCUGAAUAUACAUGAUAUAUAUUUGGUGUUGAGGUGACGCACAUGCUAAAUGACGGGCGUGUGGGCGUGUGGGCGUGCACCGUGUGAAUUAUGACUCGGUUAUUUCUGUGGUACUGUGUGGUCACCUAAUCUUAUUUGAAUCCAUGAAAUCUCUACGUGCUAGAGUAACUAAGUUGUGAUCCAUAUUAGAAACCAUGUCUAGGCUAUAUGCGCAUCUUGUUAGGACCCACUGAGGUCAUUCCUGCUAUGGAGUUAUCUUUUUAUAUUGAAAUUACAUGCUCAGUCAUAGGCAUUCAUCUACAUAUCAUAUCUCAGUCUCUGUUACUAUUUAUUGAUACAUAACAUCAUUAUUUUGGGCUGAUAUUUCAUGCCAUUGUGAGCCUGAAAGACUAGAGAGAUUCAUGACUGAGUGAGGCCGAGGGCCUGAUUGUGAUGAUAUUGAUGGAAUCGGGCUGCACGCCGCAACAGUUAUUAUUGAUUCAUGCCAUGAUUGGCUUAUUAUAGCGCUUGGGCUGGAAUUGCCCCUCCAGAGUCUACACAUCCACAGUGGGCGCAUGUACCUAUUGUGUGUGAGUGCCGAUCGAUUGGGAGGAUUAAGUGAUUGUGAGGACUGGGGGCUUGAUGGACUGAGUGACUGGGAUUACUGAGUGGAUUGAUACUCUGCGAGUAUGCAUAUGGUUUUUGUCCCUGAGUGGCAUCGCAAUUGACAUGCACACUUGACAUACAUGCAUAGAGAUACAUUUUUCCUCAUGUUGUACGGUAUCGCGUCAUUCAUGACUUCUUAUACAUAUUGACAUGUAGGCAUAGAGAUGUACUUUCCUCAUGCUAUUUUAAAAAAUGAAAAUAUUUACCUGUUGAAAGCUUUUGGGAAAAUCCGAAUUUUACAAACUUACUCAUAUUUUUGGUGAUCUUUGCAAAAGAUUUGGCGUUUUCAUUGAUAUACUUGAAAAGCAUGCCUAUUUUUCGGAACUGGGAACGAGCUGAGCAUUUUUAUCUCUUAUUUCUUUUCUUUCAAUAAUUUUAUUAUGUUAUUAUGAUCUAUUGUUAUGUAUUGGUGUUGAAUUCCGACCUUUGCCCCAACUCGUCACUACUUUCAACCUAAGGUUAGGUUGGUUAUUUAUUGAGUACGUUGGGUUGGUUGUACUCAUACUACACUUCUGCACCUUGCGUGCGGAUUUUGGAUUAUGAUGCUGCUGUGUAUGAUAGAAGCUAGCAUUGAAGACGUACAUGUGUUCCAGUUACAGCUGCCUCUUGUUCAUAGUAACUUUAGACUUAUGAAAUUUUUUUUAUGUACAUUCGGACAUAUGAUGUAUUUAUUUCAUACUAACUUUGUAAUGAAUCUUUUCUUCUCUUAAUGAAUCUCAUAUGGAUUGGUUUUCUAUUAAUUGGCUUACCUAGUGGGUUGGGUUAGGUGCGAUCACGACUAGUUGGAUUUUGGGGUCGUGACAAGUUGAUAUCAGAGCUCUAGGUUCAUAGGUUCUGCAAGUUAUGAGCAAGUAUCUAGUAGAGUCUUGCGGAUCGAUAUGAUGACGUCCAUACCUAUCUUCGAGAGGCUACAGGUUAUUUAGGAUAAACAUCCCAUCUUUCUUUCCUUAUCGUGCGACAUUGAUUUCGCUUGAAGCGUAACUCUUUGAAUUCCUUCCACGCAUUCGUAUGCGCAUGUGAGCGCUCUGUAUUAUCUAUGCAUCGACAACUUGUGAUUCCCUGGAUGAGGUGCGAGAUAUGAUUUUGGUGUGCUGAUGAUGGGCCAGUCUGGAGAACUUGAGGCCGGGUUUUGACUGUAGCUUGAGCACGGUGAUUUCGGUUGUGUAAGCACGUGUUUUUGGACUUAUAAGUCUGGUAGUGUCCGUGUGAGUAGAAUUUGUGGCUCGAUGAGUGGUUGGAUGGCUAUAUGAUGAGUAUGAUGUGAUUGCGAUAUGUGUUCAGAUGGUUUGAAUAUGGCGAGAAGAGUUUUCUUGAUAUGUAGAAAGGACUAUUGGGUGCUUUAUUUCUGUCUUGAUGGGACAUAUAGACUCGAGUUAUGAGUGUAAUUAUGGAUCCUCCAUGUUUCUUAAUUGUGGAACGAAUUACAUUCUCAUGUCUUAUUGAUGAGUUCAGACUCUGGAAGAUUAAGCCAUUGUGUAGUAGUUGUGGCUGCGAAAAAGGUAUAGAGGGAUGUCAGUUUGAGGCUAAGCAGGAGGGUUAUCACAUGCGAGGUCAUCUACGGAUGUGUGAUCCUUAUGAUGUUGUGUGGAGUUUUCCUAUUAUACCAGCGUGUUAUAUUUGUGCGAUCCGAGUUUGGAUCAGUUGUAAUAGUGACCUGACCGUCACGAGGAUGAAUGUGAAGUUUGUAGAUGAUUUGAGGUAUUAAAGGGUUUGUGUUACAUAAGCAUAUGAAGGAUUGAGUUGAAUUUCGGUGCGGGAUCAUGCCAUAAAUAGAAUAUGGGCAUUAUGAGUUGUCAAGUGUCUUUUUCUAUGGCUUUGAGCCAAGUGGGGGAGUCUGUUAUCGACGAUUUGUUUGUGUGGUUGUGUUGUACUGGUUUCGGUUUGAGGCAUACUUGUGAAUCAAAUAUGACUUGCAGUGUAACGGCCGGAUCGGUCAUUUUGAGAUCUAGUUAAACUUUAGGCAGUUUGAGACCUUGAAUAGCUUCACUUCAUGUUUCAUGACUUGUACGUGUGGUCAGAAUAUAAUUUUGGGACGUUCGGAGUUGAUUUGGAAGGAAAAUUCUAAUUUCGGAAGCUUUAAGUUGGAGGAAUUGACUAAGGUUUGACUUGUGAAUAAAUGACCUCGGAAUCAGUAUUUGAAGGUUUCAACAGGUUUGUAUGAUGAUUUCGGACUUGGGCAUAUGUUCGGGUUGAGUAUCGGGUGGACUAGAAGCAUUUCGGCGCUUAUUAUGGAAGGUUGGCAUUUUGGAAGUUUAAGAAUUUCUUAAGUUUGAUUUGAAAUAAAUUUUUGUGUAAUUGAUGUAUGUUUGGAGUUCCGAGCCUUGGAAUAGGUUCAUAUCGUGAUUUGUGACUUGCAUGUAAAGUUUGGCAUCAUUCCAAGAUGUUUAAGUGUAAUUCAGACGUGUUCGGUAAAAUUUGAAGGUUGGAAAGUUCAAAGAAAGGUUUUGGCCGUUGAUUCAUAAUUUUGAUGUUGUUUGACGUGAUUUGAGGUUUUGACUAAGUCUGUAUCGUGUUUUGGGAUGUGUCGGUAUGUUUGUAUUGGGUCCCGGGGGCCUCAGGUGCGAAUCAGAUUGGAAACAGAUCGAGUUUGGACUUGGGAUAAUUGCUGAAGUUUAAGGCUUUUGGUGUGAUCGCACAUGUGAGGAUAUGGCCGCAGGUGCGAGACCGCAAAAGCGGCCCAGGGGUCGCAGAAGCGGUCCAGGGAUAGUAGAAGCGGUUGGUGAUUGAGGCUGGUUGGAUUCACAGGUGCGAUGAAUUAACCGCACCUGCGGGCUCGCAGAUGCGGGCGGAGGAGCGCAAAAGAGGAAGUGGUCAGGACUGGAGGAGUGUAGGUGCGGGUGUGGUAGUGCACCUGCGGAGCUGCAUGUGCGGUCAUGGGCGAGCAUGUGCAGAGUGUUGCUCGAGCUGGGGAGUCCACAUAUAUGGGGGAUUUCCGCAGAAGCGGAUGCGCAUCUACGAUUGAGUGUCCACAUAAGCAAAAAAAACUGGAACCUUGGGGAAACGCAUCAUGAGGUAGCUUCCGCAGAAGCGGGGCUGCAGAAGUGCAAGGGAUUCCGCAGGUGCAGAAAAUUGACUGGGUAGAUUGUUUAAUAAUCAGGAUUUUUCUCAUAGCGUUGCUUGUGAAGGAGUCAUCGGGCAUUGGAUGUUAAUACUCUAUUAUUCCAUAUGGGUUGUAAGAGGCUUGAUUAUUCGCACAUGUGUUGAGGUCCCGUGUAGCUUGUGGUGUUAUAUGAGCAGGAUGGCUCUCGAGAUGCAGGUCAUUUAUCGCACCUUAGUUAUGCUUAGGUUUUGUAGCGUUUGGCGCUAUCCGUCUCCCCAGGGUUAUAUUUUGCACUUGGCGUGCUUGUGGUCGAUAUUCAGUAUUUCAUAAGUAUAAGCAUUAUGUCUUGAUGGGUAUUUCCUUAUAUAUUAUUAUGUGUGGAUCGGGUGGCACACCGCCACGGGUAUGUUGUUUGGGUUGGGUUGCACGCCGCAAUGGUAUCAUGUGUGGAUCGGGUUGCACGCCGCAACAGUGAGAUGUUGAGUGCGGUUCCCUAUAUACAUUCUUGUGUAUGUUGUUUCUCAUCCUCUAAGAAGAGUUCAUGGCUUCUUUUUGGUUGUUUUAUUUGUUACGCGGCUGGGUAGUUCUUUUUCCAGAAUCCGUUCUUCCUUAUGUGUCAUAUUCCGGUGGUAGCUUAUUGGUGCAUUGAUUUCGUCAUAUGAGAUCUUGGUCAGUGUUUGAGGUGGCUUAUUGCCUGAGCAGCUUGUACUAGGUGAGACGUGGCUAUUGGACCUGAAAUCGAUGCGAUCCGAUUUAUGCAAGGUGUAUUGUGUAGGGUAUUGAUUUGGCGGGUGGUUAUGAGUUCCUACGCAUCUCUUUCAUCGUUGCAGUAUUGUGAGGAUUGAAACCGGGCUUAUAUGUCUUAUGAGGUAUGCUACGGGAGCCGGGUCAAUGAAUUUGCAGUUGUUGUUCUUGGAGGAGGUUGCCUUGGUCAAAUGAGUUAUGCGGUGCAUUGUGUGGGGUCACCAUGGGUACAUGAUCAUGUGUGGGUUCAGCAUGUGGGGAUUGAUAUGGUGUUCGUAUGUUAGAUACAGGUCUUGUAAAGAAAUUCGGAAGUUGGAAUUUGGAUCUAAGGCUUAUUAACUAAAUAAAAAGGAGGAUCUAUAGUCUGGCUCGAGCUAACGUAUUCACCUGGGUUGUGGUGGCACGGGUUGGUGCACGAGGUGUUGAGUAGUGAUUUUGAGGCAACUCCAGAGCAUUUCUUAGCACGUUCGAGGACGAACAUAGAAUGUAAUGACCCGACCUGUCAUUUUGAGCUCUAGUGCGACGUUCGGCAGUUUGAGGCCUUAAGUAGUUUCACUUCAUGUUUUAUGACUUGUACGCAUGGUCGAAAUUUAAUUUCGGGAAGUUCGGAGUUGAUUUGGAAGGAAAAUUCGAAUUUCGGAAGCUUUAAGUUGGAAGAAUUGACUAAGGUUUGACUUGUGAGUAAACGACCUCGGAAUCGGGAUUUCAAGGUUCUAAUAGGUUCAUAUGAUGAUUUCUUACUUAGGCGUAUGUUCGGGUUGAAUAUUGGGUGGACCGGAAGCAUUUCGGC
rnacentral:lncRNA from 1 species